rnacentral:rRNA from 1 species
UACGUAGGGUGCGAGCGUUGCUCGGAAUCACUGGGCGUAAAGGGUGCGUAGGCGGGGCUUUAAGUCAGGGGUGAAAUCCUGGAGCUCAACUCCAGAACUGCCUUUGAUACUGAGGAGCUUGAGUCCGGGAGAGGUGAGUGGAACUGCGAGUGUAGAGGUGAAAUUCGUAGAUAUUCGCAAGAACACCAGUGGCGAAGGCGGCUCACUGGCCCGGUACUGACGCUGAGGUGCGAAAGCGUGGGGAGCAAACAGG